rfam:Aedes albopictus isolate Foshan contig156262, whole genome shotgun sequence.
UGUUCUGUGGCUUAGUUUGUUAAAGCAUCGUACUAGUGAUACGGAGGCAUAGGUUCGAAUUCCGUCAAAUUAA